AUGGCGUUGGCGGUGGUGGCGAAUGUGGCCGCGGUGGCACAGCUCAUCGAGCAGGUGACCGGCAUUGUCUCCAGGAUCAUUCGGGCGGUGGCGACGGCACGCCAGAACAAGCAGGAGUGCGAGCACCUCGCGCUCCGCCUCUCCAUCAUCGGCGACGUGCUGCCUCACCUCCCGCGGCUCCCGGUGGUGGAGCGGCCACUCAAGGAGCUGCGCGCGGCGCUGGGCAAGGCGCACGAGAUCGUCCUCGCCUGCCAGGAUCGGAGCGCCGCCAACCAGUUCUUCGGCGCCCGCCGCCACGCCGAUAGCUUCAGGGAGGUCAAUGACAGGAUCUACUUCCUUCUCAGCCUCUUCCCCAUGGUCAACUAUGCCGCCAUCACCACCCAUCUUGCUCGAAUCAGUACCCAGCACAUGAUCACCGUGCCAUCGCCGGGCUCUAGCUCUGGCUCCCUGCAGACUCUGACGGUGGUGCCCGAUUACCCCUGCAUGUUCACGUGGGCGGAGAUUGUAACGGCGACCCACAACUUUGCUGACAAGCUCGGCCGAGGUUGCUCGGUGACGGUGUACAAGGGCCGUCUCCACGACGGCCCGGAGGUGGCCGUUAAGGUGCUGGACAAGCACAGGCCGCAUGACACGUUCGUGCCGGAGCUCGUGAUCACCUUCCGCCUCCGCCACGACCACAUCGUGCGCCUGGUCGGCUGGUGCGAGGAGGAGGACGACCGCAUGUUCGUCUACGAGCAUAUGAGCAACGGCACGCUUAGAGACCGCCUGCAGCGCGCCAGCGGUGGCUCUAGCUCGUCGGCAGCGACGGCGCCCUGGAGGACCCGCGUCGCCGCGCUGCUGGGCGCGUCCCGGGCCAUCCAGUACUUGCACUGCGGCGCGGAGCCAGUGGUCAUCCACCGCAACGUGAGCUCGUCCAACAUCCUCCUAGACAUGAACUGGAUGCCGCGCCUGUCCGGCUUCGGCGCGGCGGUGUAUCAAGCGGCGGGCGAGGAGCACGGUGGCCAGCUCGUUGAGGAGGUCAUCGGCACGCCCGGGUACGUCGACCCGGAGUACAUACGCACGAAGCGCGUGAGCACGGCGAGCGACGUGUACAGCUUCGGGGUGGUGAUGCUAGAGGCGCUGAUGGGCGAGGAUCCGGCCGCCCUGCAGCUGGACUCCAUACGAAACGGGAAGUUAGCGCUGAAGGAUGUGCUGGACCGUCGGCCGUCGCUGGACCCGACGCUGCCGCAGAUGGAGGCGCUGGAGAUCGUGGCAGACACGGUGAAGCGCUGCCUCUGCCUGUCGCGGAUGGACCGGCCGGCCAUGUCCAAGGUCGUGGCCAACCUCGAGGAGGCACUCCAAAUGAUACGCAGCCAUGAGCCAAUGUCCAUGGCACGCUGGAGCCUCAUUCGACGAAGAACCAGUGAGAAUUAA
rnacentral:rRNA from 1 species